UACGUAGGGUCCGAUCGUUGUCCGGAAUUACUGGGCGUAAAGAGCUCGUAGGUGGUUUGUCGCGUUGUCCGUGAAAUCCCACAACUCAAUUGUGGGUCUGCGGGCGAUACGGGCAGACUGGAGUACUGCAGGGGAGACUGGAAUUCCUGGUGUAGCGGUGGAAUGCGCAGAUAUCAGGAGGAACACCGGUGGCGAAGGCGGGUCUCUGGGCAGUAACUGACGCUGAGGAGCGAAAGCGUGGGGAGCGAACAGG
rnacentral:rRNA from 1 species